UGCGAUCGCUUAGGCGCGCGAAAUUGCAUGUCGAGCGCAGUCGUGGAGUGCAGAUGAGAUUUUCAGAAAAUUAGGGUUGCGAACAAGAACGAGUUUUUGCUUCUUUAAAAUUUUCAUCCUAUUCUUGGCAAUUUCCCUCUCCCCAAUACAGUAGAAGCCCAGCCGAUUCGCCGCCGGUCGCAGACCAAGUGAAGUAUUGAAAGAAUUCUCUCUUCUGAAAUCUGCUUCGUCCUCCUCACUGUUAUCUUUCACUUUCGUCCUUCUCAGCUCCACGGAGCAAAAGAGUAAUUAACAACGAGCUUUCUUCAAUUCGAAGCUAGAAGCAUCAUCUGAAGAAGUAGUUGAAUUAGAUACUUGGAGAAAUCAGAAAUUGUCGGACAUGGAUGUCGAUCAUUAUGCUGUUCUUGGGUUGCCUUCGGGUGAGGAAGGUUCCAAGCUCUCUGAGAAAGAGAUAUCUAAAGCAUACAGAGCAAAGGCUUUGGAAUUGCACCCUGACAAGAGGCCAGAUGAUCCAAAUGCCCAUGCUAAUUUCCAAAUUCUGAAGUCAUCCUACGAGAUUCUAAAGGAUGAGAAGGCAAGGAAAUUAUUUGAUGAUCUUCUAAGAGUCAAACGCGAGCAGCAUCGCCGACAAUCAGAGCGUGAUUCUAAGCGUCAAAAAAUGAUGAUGGACCUUGAAGCAAGAGAGCGAUCUGCAUUUGCUCCCGACCCUGCUGCAAAAGAACUAGCAGAAGAAGAAAAAAUUGCCAAAAAGCUAAAGGAAGAGAUUGCUAGAAUUCGAGCUAUGCACGCAAAGAAAGGAGCACCGACAACAUUUCCACCAAAGAAGGAGACUGGGGGAGUUGGAAAGAAUAGCGAUGGCGAUCCUGGAUCUACAAUGGACAAAGAGAGGAUGCUUAAGGUUUCAUGGGAAAAGAUUGGCGAGGAUUAUACUGCAGAGAAAUUAAGAGAGAUGUUUUCGAAGUUUGGUGAGGUUGAAGAUGUUGUUAUUAGGCAUAACAAGAAGAAGAAAGGUUCAGCGGUGAUCGUAAUGUCGAGUAAAGAUGCUGCAGUUGCCUCUACUAGAUCUGUGCUUGGUGAUCUAUCUAACCCUUUACUAGUUUUGCCCCUUCAACCAGUUUCUUCAGUAGAGAUGCCCGCUGCUGAGAAAUCACCAGAGCAUAAUCGAUUGAAUAAUUUAGUAGGAGCUGGUUACCAAGCAUUUGAAGAUUCCAUUUUAAAGAAACUCCAAAAGGCUGGUGAGAAGCAAAAACAAUAAGUUGUCACUAACAAGAUCAAUUGUACCAUAUUGAGUCGAGAUCACCCUUUGUCAUGAAUGUUAAGGCCUGUGACGAUAGGAAUCGUUAUUGUUCUCGAUCUGGUAAGUUAUAGCUUUAUCAUGAUCUUGUACUUGAGCACAUACAAGACGUGGAGGUUCAAAACUAUGGUACGGUACUCAACAUGAAGAGCUGGUGUCAUAAGUUGCAGUGUAGUUGGGUCAAAUUUCAUAUUAUGGCUUGCAAAGAGAGCCUACUCUCAGUUCUUCAGUCGCAGGUAAUACUAGAAUAAUGACUUCGGUUUGUGAUUUGUUGCUGGUUUCAAGUUAGCAACUUAAAUUUAUCAGCAAACUGGUCAUUCUGCUGCUAUUGGCAUAGGAUUUUGUUAGUCUUUGGAAUAGCCCAGGUACUUUUUUACUUGCCAUUCUAUGAUUAUUAAGUUUCAAGUUACUUGGUUUUAAGUUUGAA